AGGGUGUAAACGCUGCAGACUUGGUGUUGGGAACCCUUCGGGGGUGCUCAGUGCCGGAGAGAAGUUGUUAAGUCUGCUACUUGGGGAGUACGUCCGCAAGGAUGAAACUUAAAGGAAUUGGCGGGGGAGCACCGCAACGGGAGGAGCGUGCGGUUUAAUUGGAUUUCAACACCGGAAAAACUCACCAGGGGAGACUGUUACAUGAAACCCAGACUAAUGAUCUUGGUUGAUUUUUCAGAGAGGUGUGCAUGGCGUCAGUGACU
rnacentral:rRNA from 1 species